rnacentral:rRNA from 1 species
UACAGAGGUCUCAAGCGUUUGUUCGGAUUCAUUGGGCGUAAAGGGUGUGUAGGUGGCGCCGUAAGUCGGGGUGUGAAAUUUCGGAGCUUAACUCCGAAACUGCAUUCGAUACUGCGGUGCUUGAGGACUGGAGAGGAGACUGGAAUUCAUGGUGUAGCAGUGAAAUGCGUAGAGAUCAUGAGGAAGACCAGUGGCGAAGGCGGGUCUCUGGACAGUUCCUGACACUGAGACACGAAGCCAGGGGAGCAAACGGG